GCCUAGUUAGCUUGGUUGGUAGGGCGUCUGCCUUGUAAGCGUUAAGCCGCGGAUUCGAUUCCCGCCCGGGGCG
rfam:Asian citrus Psyllid, Diaphorina citri - Florida Strain, whole genome shotgun sequence.